GGGCUUCUCCACCGUGAGGACUCUGCUGGAACUGGUUUCUCUAUGUAGCCUGUCCCAGAAGUUCCUCUGUAGACCAGGCUGGCCUCGGACUCAGAGAUCCACCUGCCUACACUGAGAAUUGUUAAAAUGGACGGUGCUACACAGGAAGAGACCAUUCCAGUAUGGACUGGCCAUUGGAAAGGACGGCACAGUAUCUGGACUGUUCUGUGUCCUCAGGAUGCUGCGGAAUGAACACACAUCUGCGCAAGAAUACAGUAGCAGAAACCACAUCUCACACUUGAUAGGGGAGUUGGAACUAUGAAUAUUACAGUCUAUAAUAAAUAACACAUAACCUACAAGUCAGAGUGAACACUAUUGUGUUAUUAAGGCAGGCCAGCCUCAGCCUCCCAAGUUCUGGGACCAGGCCCAGGCAGAACAUUGCCAUUUUUGUUGAGACUCAGUCAUACAUUGUAGUGUUGUCUGGCCUGAACUCACAGAGACUACCUGCCUCAGCCUCCCAGGGCUGGGACUAAAGACAUUUGCCGCCAUAACCGCUCUGUUGCAUUCUUUACAGAGCAUCAGGGAUGGCUGGCUCAGAGGGCAAAGGUCAUCUGUUGCACAAGCCUGCCCAGAACCUACAG
rnacentral:lncRNA from 1 species